AUGGAGUUGCCGUCGGGCGACCGCCUCAACCCUCCGUCGUCGUCCGUGUCCAGCCGGCGCCGGCGCUUCCGCUCAGAAGGCGUCAGAGCGGACCGGAUCAGUGCUCUCCCCGACGACCUGCUCCUCCAGGUACUCGUUCGUCUCCGCUGCGCUCGCACCGCCGCCCUCACCAGCGCCGUCGCCCGCCCGUGGCGCGGCCUCUGGAGGUACCUUACCGAGCUCUCCUUCCGCGAGAUCGCGCCGGAUGCUCUCGAAGCCGCCCUCGGCCAGGUCGCCCGCCCCGCCAUCUCCCUCCUCGAGAUUGACAUACCCGAGGAACACAGGGACGAGAUUGACCCUGCCCGCGUCUCGGCGCUGCUCCGCACGGCUGCGCGGCUGGCGCCCACGGCUCUGGUCUUCACUGCUUGCGGGAACUGUACGGAGGCUCCCAUCGAGGUUCCUGUUUUCCACCGAGCCACCUCCAUCAAGCUGGAAGUGCAAAACCUGUGUCUAUCACCGCCGGCCCAUGGACUUGAGUUCCCUGUGUUGGAGAGGCUGUCCAUCGCUGGCUGCGGCUUCGACAUGGAUAAACUUAUCCAGCGCUGCCCUCGCCUGCGCGUAUUGGAGGUGGGCAAUGGCGGGCGUCUCUGUAAGAUCAAAGUCCACUCAACGACGAUUGAGGAGCUUGUCGUGAGCGACAACUGUUGGUUGGACGGCAUCGACAUCCUGGCGCCUGCGCUUAAGCAGUUGAAGCUAUCGAUCAGCAUGUACUCGCAGUUCAGCGUGUCCUUCUCCGCGCCGAUGGUGGAGAAUCUCUGGUGGGACUUCGCGUGCCCCUUCCAAAAUGUCGGGGAUGACGGCUGGCGCAUGCUCCACCUGAGCCUAUGGAACAAGGAGAGCGUCAACACCUUACGAUUAACCAUAGAUGCUGGUCCGUCCAUGCUUAUGGAUUUGGAGGAUUAUGCUGAGGCUUAUGCACCAUUCGCGGACAGGAACUUCAGUGAAGAGAUAGCAUCACUUCCCAACUUUUCUGUUCUUCAGCUACAUCUGAUAAGACGGGGGCAUGCUUUUGGGCCAGUGGUGUCGAAUCUACUUGGGAUCUGCACCUUUAUACAGAAGCUUAAGGUGGACAUAAACAAAUUCAUGUGCACGGGAGUGUGCCCACCAAAUUGUCCUUGUGAUCAACCCCAAAAUUGGAGAAGUCAAACUAUCUCCCUGGCAGCUCUUGAAGAAGUUGAAAUAGAAGGUUCAGAAGGAACUGGCGGUGAAAUUGCUUUCUUGAAACUUUUGUUCAGAUCCGCGCCUCUGAUGAAAACAAUGACCAUGACAUUGCACCCUGAGAAUUUACCAACCAGCAGAGGAUGCAAGAAAACCUACAGAAUUUUGAGGGAAAACCCAUCUGUGAAAUGCCGUGUUUAUUGCAGCGGUGGGGAGGAGGUUCUGUACCCAUGA
rnacentral:rRNA from 1 species